AUGAGAUUUCCCCACCAACAUAACAACUUCAUCGCUUUGUCACAAAUUCUCAGAUUGAGAAACAAGAUUUUUAGGACUUGGGUGUGUUCCUUUGAGAUGGUCAGUGGCGGAUGGAUUGUUGACAUCUCUUCUGGUCCCAGUCUACAUCUCUUAAUACAGUGAUCAGCUCACUGAGGUUGAUGUUGACAUCUUUGAUUAGUUGCUGUCAACCUCUCCUGAAGAGCUGAUCCGGCUCACGGAGGUUGCAUGCUGCUUAUUAUUGAGCUGCAUCAGCACAGAGUGGCGGAAAGUCAAGAAAAAUCAACAUAUUGAACGGAAGCUUUGGAGAAAAAUUCCAUACAAAGAGUCCUUAAUGGAGAUGAUAGUUGGAGAUUAUUUUAAGCUUUGGAUCAACUAUUUCUGGUGGGAAGUAGCAAGUACCCGGUGUAUGCCAAGUUGGUCCCGACAACACGAUCAUUAAAAGAAACUAUUUCUGGUCACUUUCAUGUCAACAGCAAUUUUCUACAGGAAUCAACUUCCAUACCAAAGUGUGAUGAUGCAAUGAGUUUGAAUAGGUCUAGGGACGUGGCACAAACAUCAAAAUGCCUAUAUUGCAGUGGAAAACUACUCUCAGAAGAAUUUGAUUGAUCCUGUCAUCUUUACAUUAUCUUCGUACUUUAAAAAAAAAGUAUAUUCGUAUAG
rnacentral:misc_RNA from 1 species